UGAAUGAAGGUCACAAGAUAAUACUAGAACAUAACAUGAACUGAUGAACAUACAGUUGCAUUUUGUUGAGCAGGCAACCGACCUGCUAAAACAAGCUUUGGGACAGUAAAGGCCUACAAAAGAAUUCAAGAACUCCAAUAAGAAAAUGCGCAUACGGCUUGAAGGAAUCAACUUAAAUUGAGAAGAAAACAGAAAAAUUUAAAUAGUAUAAAUAAAAAGAAAUGGAAUACCUCUGUUAAAAGAGUUGAUAUUGUUGCCAAAGUAAAUGCCCCACGGCCCAGAGGAAGAGCAGUGGUCCUCUGUGCCAGGUGCCACAAUUGAGCCUUUACAUGAGAGGGAGAGAAAAGAAGAAGAAACAAAAAAAUAAGAUGAAAAUCAACCACAACAACCAUUGAACCAUUAACAGUAAACAAUAAAACAAUAACAAUAAUAAUGACCCAUUAAAACCUUUUGAGACCUCUAUUUCAAAAGAUAUCCCUAAAAUGCUUAAUCUAAGAAUUUACUCAUUCAUAACUUUGAAAAUCUCCAACCACAGGAUAAAUCAUCUAAGUCCUAUCGGGCUAAACUCUAGAGGCAAAAGAAAUAAAUUGUAAAUCAACAAUGUUCAAAGACACAAGGCAGGGAUUGAUGCCAUAAUCUUUCUCCAGAAAUAUCCACCUCAUUUAGCAUAUUACGGACCCUCUUCAAUUCCCAUUUAUAAAAAUGGUGGAAAGGGAGAUAAACGCAAAAGAUAGAAAUUUCUGGGAAGGGAGAUAAACAUAAAACAUAGAAAUUUUUGGGAAUCGAAAAAUUUAUUGAUGAUAAGAAAAUAUUUUUACAGCCAACUCGACUACCCCUCAACCCCUAAUUGGUUAGGGUCAAUUAUAGGGAGCCUUAUUUUCAAUUCAUCCCUAAUUAAGGAAACUUUCUAUAACGAUCACAAUAGUCCACCAUACUUACUACUUCAGUUCACAUUGAUAUAGGUCUACCUCUACCCCUUGAAUUUGCUCCUUUUCCUUCAUUCUUCUCUACAAUUUACUUGUAUGGGUGUUAAAUUUCAAGAAUAUUUUGGGUACAGAAGAACAAAUGACUUCUAGAAUGCAAAGCGUGUGAUAAAUGGACUCUAAUAGACAUCAGGGAAUGUCUUUAAAGUAAACUCAUACUAGCAUCCAACAUCUCAGUCUAUAUAUGUACAAGGAAAGAACUAUAACAUACAAAAUCAAGUAUUAUUUAUAACUGAGAACAAGCAAAGUGCACCUGUUGGAUAUCCUGAUCAGAGGCACUGGGAUUAACAGAUGUUUGGAUAGCCACAGGUUUUGCGGAGCACAGAAGGCGUCUAACCUAAUAGAAGCCAAAGUAGCCAACAAAAACACAGAAGGAACUUGAACUCAUGCUAGCCAGUGUACAUAAGUGCAAUUUGAUAAAAAGUGAGCUAUCCCAAUAUAAAUAACUAAACUAUGCUAGAUGCUAAAAAAUUUCAUUAUGACUAUCUUGUGAUAUCACUUUCUAAAUGUGAAAUGUACAUCAUUAAGCAUUUCAUACCCUAUAGCUAAUUCAUGCAAAUAAUAGAAGAUUGUUCUCAACAACUACAAUUUGCAUCACUGAGUUUUUCAUGGUCAAAUACAAGGAACCAAGCAGACCUCAUUCAAUCGCAGAUCUCGACCAUACUGCAACUGAGUGCUAGAGUUGAAGAUGUGCUCCAUACCAUCCAUCAUGGACCCAUCAGCAGAUUCUGUAUCAUCAAACUUGGAGGCAUCCAGUCCAGUUGAAUCAGAAACGGCAGAAGGAAUUGUCACAGGAUGCAUAUGUAGCAUGUAAGGUGCAGACAUGGAUAUUAAAUUCGCUUUGGAUUGAGUUUCAAGUUCCUUAGAUUUGUGGGAAUGGGUUAAACGUAACAUGGCCAGAUCUUCACGACCAAGAAGAACAUAUGCUGCUGCAGGCCAAUCAGUUGGUGGAGAUUCUCGGCACUUAUCCAACACCUACAAAGAACUGAAAUGUCAAUACAGUAGAAGAUAUAUUCAACUAUACAUGAAUAGAUAUAGUUGUGAAGGAAUAAAAUCUUAAUAUUGACAAAGCCAAUAGGGUUGUAAGAGAUAGAUUUUGCCAUAACCAUAAGGUCUACAAUCCAAAGGAGCAAACUUCUUUUGAGGCUUGUUUCAGUACUUAGGUUUCACCAUUAUUUUGUGAAAUAAAACUUCCACAUCCUUAAAACUUGACCAUAGUUAAAAGGUAUUUGGCCAUUAAUCCAGUCAAUCAUAUUGUUACUAGGUUUUAUUCAUGUCUAUUUCAGUUGUUAGAAAGUCUCAUUCUGAUAGACGUUGUAUUUGAAAGAAUACUCAUUAAUUUAUUUUUCAAACGACUCAGAAAAAUUUUUUGUUUGAGCAAAAUGGUAGAGGAAGACUUCUGAAUAAACUAUAAAGUAAACAAAAAGAGAGACAAAAAAGAAAGGAAGAGAAUCUAUUUGCAAGUUUUUAAUCCUCCAGCAACACACAGAGGGAAAAGGAAGAGGAGGAGAGAGAAGGAGAAGUUGAGAAAUAAAAAUGGCUUAGGUAAUAUCCUGAGAGCAACUCAGCAGUUAAUUACAAUUGCAGCUCAGCGGUUGAAAAGAGUGAAAAUUCUCCUCCUUAUCAAUGAAGACUGCAGAUAUUAGGAAUCCAUACUAAAUUUUUAACAAUGAGAGCAAAAGUGUCCAAAGACAGAAAAUCAAAUGAUUGAAACCCCCAAAAUAGGCUUUAUUGUUUCACCAGUAGAUUGCUCUGAACAUUAAAUGAAUCUAUCAAUACCCAAAAACAAAGAAGAAUUAGUUUCCCAUUAUGUUUUCACAGAAAAACCUAGGAAUGCCUUCAAUGACGACACAAUAAUUAAGCAAUUAAAAACCCUUUCUCACUUUGUAUAUUCCUCAGAAACUACUAUACAUAUUUGCAAAGUUUCUCAAAUCCGUUGGCAGUCAAGAGUUUCCAACACACUACAAAGCAAAAUAACUCAACUUACAUGUCGCAAAGGAAGAGAAACACCAGAAGGUAGUGAGUCAAGCUGCUGCAGUCCAAAUUUUUCUCCAACCAUUGCCAAGACAGUGAGCUCCUCGCUAGUGCAAUACGAUCCCAAAGCAACACUGCAGUAAACACCAGAAGAUAGCUGUUUCCCUAUCUGUUUAGCUCCACAUAAUAGACUGUAGAAGGAGACUAUCUUCCGUGCCCAGCUCACUACAGAACUUCCAUCUUUAUAAAUUAAAGGUGGCAGAUCAUUUCUAUUAGCAGAAGUGCAACCAAGUUUCAAACAGUUUUCAAGCCAUCUGAAUAUGCUAGGAGGAGCUUUCUGGGAAAGAGAUACUGUGCACAUCCCAAUUUUCUUAUAAAGUCCAGGGAAAUCACGAACAUAAUGAUCUAUAUAACUUUCUUUGCCAAGGAACUUGGCCAUUUUGCAUAACAGAACUGCCAGAAGCUCCAAGUCCCUGCAAGUAAAGUUGGACUUAUCUCGUUAACAGAAUUUAGAAAUAGCACAAGUACAUAGUGUAAUAUUUAACAGUUUAUUCAGGAAACAGAAAAAGAAAAUGUUUUCCAGCCAAAAUUUCAUGUUGAGUGGUGAAAAGAGAGAACAAUUCAUAAUUUUACAAUUACAAAAUCAAAGUCAUUUCAGCUGGUAUGCGGUGCACAAGAAGCAAAUACUGAGCCUAAAUGCUUUAUAUAGCAGCCAACCUCCAAGUGUCUAUCUUAUUUGAAUGUUGUAUGUACUUUUAUGGUUUGAAAACCUUGAGAUGAUAUAAAUUGUUUAAAAAAAUGAACAAAAAGAACAUGUACAUUUACCACUUAUUGCAAAGUUAGCUUAUGGGGCUCAACAAAAUAAAAUAAGAAAUUAUCAGGGUUAAGGGUGGAGAAAGGAGAAGAGUUCGGGAGUCGAGAACUAGUUAGAGAAUAGUAUAGUUUCAACAGAUUACAUUACUCGGCAACAACAGUAGAAACUAAACUCACCGAUUGCGAAGAUUAUCCAAUUUCAGACUUUCAUAUAAUGCAUGCAGACAAUCCAAACUCCCCUGUAAUAGGUCAAAGUAAAAUGAUUCUUCUGAACUUUGUUUAUCCUUUGUAUUUGAUCCAGAAGAAUUCAUUUCCCCAACAGACAGUGAUGUUGCAGAAGAAUAUCCAGUAAUGAAAUUAAGUUUUGUAUAGUUCUUGUGAAAUCUGCUGUUAAGAAGGAACUCCCAGGAUGAAACUGGAAGUAAAUUAGAAGGCUUCAGAGAAGUUGCACUAGACUUUACACACAUUCUAAGUAUAACACUUGAAAAUGAGUCCCAUUCAGAAUCAACAGUAGAAUCAGCCCUUGACAAGUAGUCAGAAUCAUUCUCUCCCCAAAGAAGAACAAGGAAAUGAUUAUAGAAACUGGAAGUGAGCCCCUCAGCCAUUGCUGUGAUGCAAUCUUUCACCAAUGAAGAUGAAGGAUUUCUUCGUAAUGCACAUCGAAACAUCUAGGAAAAUUACAAAAAGUAUAGUCAGGUACCAUAAGACAACCAACAAACAACUUGUGAUGAGAAGAUAACAAAUAAAUAUUACUGAGACUGGUAAAUUUUUUCAUUUAACUACCAGAAUUUCUCCGCCUAAAUUGAGUUCAUAUAAGCAUUGAGCAUGAUAUUAGAAUUUUUUUCUAAACAGUGCUCAAGUAAAUUAGCUAACUUGUCGGGAGGGACCUAUUCCUCUUUUAAUAAGAGAACGAUGAAGCAUUUUCCUCCAAUCCACCAUGCCAAAGGCCAUAAGUAAUGUAGCACAAAACAGAAUUUAUAUAUAAAAAGAAGUCACCACUCAAAUGGUGCUACAAAUUAUAGAACAGAAGUAGCAAAUAAGUCGAGAAAGUUGAAGAUCAACCCAUCUCGAGAACCUGAAAAGAAAAGGACAACGAAUAUUGCAAUCUUGCUAAGCAAAAGCUUACUAAAUACCAAAAUUAGUAUACCUGCCCAUUAUUUGUUAUUAAAUUCACACGCCCCUCCACAGCAUCAGCCAAUCCUAGAAUCUUUAAGUCAUGACUUUUACCCAAAGAAGAAGGCAUGAAAUACUUGCACAGGCAUUGCUUCCCCGACUGCAGUAUGACAUAUAUAUAUAUCAAUUAAUCACACCCAGCAAGAUUAUAUUAAGAUGUCGAAAGUAGUUCAGCAAACAAAUGUCGUGCCAAGCAAAUAUGCUAUCACGAUAUUGCUAUAUAAGAAACUCUAUAUUCUGUAGACAGAUAAUUUGGGGUACAGUACCAGGCUGCCAGCACAAAAAUUAUACGUGCUUUCUAUUACAAGAAUAGGAGGUUCCAAUAGAAAGUAAUCUCAUAUGUGGGCAAUAACUUUCAGAAGUAAUGAACCAUAAUUAUUAUAAACAAUUGCAGAAAGCAUGCAAAAGUUUUGCACAUGGCAAGCAAUUAGGCAGCACAGCUGAAUAUGAGACAUAAUCAACCAGGUAGGAUACGCUAAAUCAAUCCAUUUCACAAUGAGCACUCUAAUAUCCUCAAGCUUUCAGCUAGCAAGUACACUAUCUAGAUUAUUUCCUUAGUCAGAUCAUGAGGAACUAAGUUACUUCCUGUUGGGCAUGCAACCAUUUCAGUUUUAACUAAAUGAAACUUAUCCACAUCCCUUCCUUCUGAAGUUUCUAACAGUCACUUAAGUAGCUGAAAAGGAAAGGGAGUGUGAUGGGAGUGGGGAAGAGAGAGAGAGAGAGAGAGCAUACUUAACAUAUUAGAGAAAAAUUCAAAAUAAAAACAGGAUAGGUACUAAGAAGAAGAAACUAUCAGUAUUAAUUUUAGUUCAGAAAUCCUAAAAAGAAUAUCAAAAAGAUUAAAACCUCUUGCUAGAGACAACAAAAUUACAGGUACAAAAUUAUCCAAAGAAAGAGAGAUCCUAAACAGCAUCAAACACAAGCUCCCAUAGACAUAAUUCAAACAGAAGUUAAACAAAAUUGCUAAGAACAGUUAAAUAAAUAGUGCAUAAAGCUUACAUAGAGGAGAAGUGUGUUUUCUGGAGCCAAAACAACAAUGUCUGAAUACGGAAGCAGUCCGGCUUUCACUCUGACAAGGAAAACAGGAAAAACAAAAAGGACAAAUGUAGAUCCAGUAAUAGAUAAACAAUUAAUCAAGAUAACAGUAAAUGGUGAAAAAAGAAAGUGAUUAAAGCAAAGUUAGUUCUACCUUGGGCGUGUUAUAAUCACUGGUGCAGCUGCAGUUGCAGAUAUGCUCCAGCUCAUGUCAGGUUUAACAUCAAAGAUUAUCUCAUUAUUGAUUGCAAGACUUUGAAGCCUUACUGACAACAAUUUCUUCUGUUCUUGAAGAAGAAAACAAAGAACAGGAGCAGCAUCAUCAUCAGUUGCCAGAAACACCUGGUAACAUGGACAAGAACAAAUUGCUUAGCUACACCAUAUUAACAGCUCAAAAGACAUCAGUGGAAUAGGUAUCAUAUUUAAAUCAUCCAAAUGCAGAUAAGAUGCAGCAGAAAGUGGAAAGAGCAUAGUGGUCAAAAUGAUAGAACAUAAACAGAAAGUGCACUUAUUUGAAGAGAAAAACAUGGUGAAAGAAUAACUCAAAGAAAUAUUUGACUUUUACACAAAGAAUGAGGUUUUAAGGGCAGGAAAAGAAUAUAAAAUUUCAGACUGAAGAUAGUACUAAAUGGCUUUUUCAUGUCAUGGGGCUUGAAGGUAUGGAGUAAGGAUUAGACUCUAUAAUGCAAAAGACAGCAGAUAACUGACUAAAGGCACCUUACAAGCAGCUGCUUGGGCACCCUUCCCUUGCCAUAUUCUACGCAAGGAGAACUGUUUAGCUACUACACCAGUGGGAAUCUCGUCAAUCGAACUAGCAUUUGCGUCUUCAAGGUUGGAAUUGAUGACUUCAACAACCCACACUGAAUGCUGCAACUUUCCUGCAGAAGAAGUGGCAAGGAAUUUAAUGUGUGAAUCGAGAUUAAAGGGGGAGGCAAACAAAACAUAAAGUUUAUCUAGUCAAAGAAAAUAUGAGAUACCUUUGUUGUAUGAAGCCAUUAGAGGAAUUUGAUCACUUGUCCAAAUUGUUUUUUCAUCAAAAUCCUUCAUUAUGUUCAACUUUCCUCUUUCUUCAAUAUAAGUUGACUGAAAGAAUUCAAGUAACAUGGCUUCUUUAUGACUGAGAGAGUGUUAAACUAAUGAAAACCAGAAGGCAAGAAUGCAAGAAGAUAGAAAUACCUGUGGCUCUUCCAGCAGAUCCUUCAGAAUCAGAUGAGAGGACAAGGUUACUGUGUCUGCUUUGAUCACAUUAUCAAAUGCAUUGGAAAAAGUGACAUUUUGUUGCGGACUGUGUCCAAUUUCUCUUCUAAGAGAGGAUAUAUCACGUGCACCUAAUAAAGGAUUUGUGGAUAAAAAAGUUGAUUGCAUUGGUGAACUCCCUUCAGCUGCUGGCUGGAGUAGCAAACCAAAUGGAAGAGGCCAUAUUGAUGUAAUGGUACAGGGGAGGGGAAUGGAUACUACUUCGCCUGGUGUUUUUUUUUUUCAAAAAGAAAAAAGAACAUCUGUAAUUUCAGAAAUGAAUUAAGCUCAAACUGUUCAAGAAAAUGAAUAAGCCGACAAUGGAAUUAAGUUUCAGGAUAAAAGCAAAUUAGCAUCAAUGUAAAUAGGGAUAAACCAAGUGUGUAUAGGGUACAAAAACUAUAGGCUCCUCUAGUAUCAGUAUAAGAUAUUGACAAUCUAAUUCUCAGUUUACCAAUAUUUAAAAGAAGAAACUACAAAAAAUCAACCAAAAGAUGAUAGUGCCAACCAACCAACAUAUUACCACAUCUUUUAUCUCGUCAAUGGAUAUAUGAUAACUAUCUGAUACUCUCCCUCCCUUCCAAGCAUUGCUGAAGUGAAAAGGAAGUGUUUUUUGGGCAUUUUAUGACUCCAAAGAGAUGCACAUUAAACACUGCUGACUUAUAGGAGUACACUUUACUACUUUAGAGAAAGAGCAUAUUACUUAAUCAUCACUUCCCACUCAGCUUGCCUGAUAUGUUUUAGUCAUCACUGGAAACUUCCCACUCAGCUUACCUGAUAUAUUGUAUAUUGUUAGAGAAUCAAUUUGCAAGAUGCAAAGCAAAGCCUCAGACAUCUCACCCAGAUGACACCAGCAUGCCUAUAACAUAAAAGACAUAGUAGUUAUCAAUAGAAAUUCAAAGCUAUAAAUGGAAUCGUAUAAGCAUAAUGCUACUUGCAAGCAAUACAAAUUGCAGAGACAAUAAAGCAAGUUUAGUAUUUGAUAAAGCAAAGAUAAAAUUAGGUCAAAAAAAUAUCUGGAAAACAUCAAAGUCUGAGCCAUGCUUUCAGAUGUUUGUAACAAUUAAACAACAAAUGUAAUAAAUUUACUAUAUCGGCAAUAGAAUUUGACUAUCACCUAAAGAAAAAAUAGUUUAAAUUGAGAAAAAAGGUAGCUGAAGUAGGCAUCAAGGUGUAGCACAAAUGUCAAGGGCGGAUUUCAAAAAUAAUAUCCGAAAAAUUUUUUUAAGAAAAAAAGAAGCUCUUCAUCAAAUAGAUGUUCUCUCUGGCAAAACAAUGUAGCAUUCAAAUGAUCAUAUCUGACUAGCACACACCCACCUUUGCGUCCCAUUAACCGCCAAUUCAUAUCAUCCUAAGUAGUUAGUCAAAAGUGAACAAAAGAAAAAUGAAGCAAACAUCUAGCUUUUAGAAAGUAUCAAAUAAAACUCCAUCAUGAGAUAUCGAAUGUGAGAUGUAAGAAAUGGUGAGAAAAUACCAUUUUAACAGGGGAGGGAGAGGUAAAUCUCUUGAAAACUCGUGAACCUGUGGACCAUAUUAUCCUGUUAAACAUGAGAAGAGAGAAAUUUAUGUAAACAUGCAAAUAAUCAAUCAGGAGAGUAAAACAGAAAGCAAGAAAAGAAUUGUGAUUAGUAAAGAGAUAUAACUUCAAAAACUUCUCCUUUUUUCCCUUGUCUUCUCUUGAUUUGCCUUGGAAUCCAGCUUAAUAAUAGUAUAACCAAGUUUCAAACGUCUAAUGACUAAAACCAGCAAGAAAAAGAAACUAUAGCAGUAAAGAAUUCAAACCAAGUAUUAACAAUAACAAUAUUUAGGCUUUGUGCAUUGAAAUCCUGCAAAGUUAAAUUUGAUAUGAUUUCAUUUCUUGCAAAAUGCCUUGUUUAUUAUACGUUGGAAGAAUUCAAUACUAGCAACUAAAAGUUUUCCAAACACGAGAAUUGCCUAAACAGAAUUCAGUUGAAUUGAAUUCAUGCAUUUUCUGAACUUCUAUUGAAAACUAUAGCUGCAUUUUCAAUUUAGCUUAAUAGAUUACUAAUUUAGCUCACUGAACCAAUAUUAUAAUACAAGCUCCAUUCAAUUAUUUUAAACCUUUUAUAAAAACAAAUAUGCAUAUACAAUUUAUCUUACUAUACUACUACAUUUAGCUCAAUAAAACCCUUAUCAUUGUUCAGAACUUAAUCUCUCAAUUAACAUAUUUAUUUUUAUUUUACUUUUAUCUUAAAUUUUACUUGAAAAAGAAACAUAAAAGCAAACUGUUCCACUACAAAAUAAUCCAGAUUCACCUGUUUCCUCUAAUGAAGAGUUCAUGAUCACAUUGGUCGCUAAAAGGAGAUGCAGAAAUAUCGGAAUCGUUCAUUUCGUCUCGGUCUCUGACGAUGUCAGGGUCAAAAAGAAAGUAAUCGUACUUAUCAGUGACGACAUUAUUAUUAUCAAGAGGUUUGCCGUCGAGAGCUUCAGCUAUUAAACCAAAUGGCUUGAACUCGCCAAGUACGGUGAGUUCACGAAGCAUUGAAUCGGUUACUGAGUUAACAAGGCGAGUUCAGAAAUUGAAAGCGAAAAUGAUAAUGGAAAGUGAGAUAUAAAAACUCGCUCCCGCUCUUUUUUUUUUAUUUUUUGUCAUUUUUGAGAAAUUGUAAACCCUAGGGGUUAUGUUAUGUUUGGCUUGUUGGAAUUGGUUGUUCUUGUUUGGGAUUAGGUUAUCCUGAACUGUUUUAGCAUAGCUAAAUUAAAAAUAUUUAGACAAAUAUUUAAAAUGUAUUUUUUGCUCGAUUUUAAUUCCUCAUCUAAAUGUUUUAACUCAAAAUAAAAUUAUACCUAUCCAAUUUAAUUUUUAAAGAGAAAUUAUAUUCUAAAAUUUAUCAUUUAGCAUAAAAAUUAAAUAUGAAAAAAUCAGAAGUCCGUAAGCAAAAAAGUCUUUGAUGUUAAUUAAAUAAAUUAUUGACUUAUUUUAAAAUUAAAUAUAAUUCAUUUAAAAUUUUAUAUUCAUACUAUAUAGAUAUAAAAUUAAUUCAUAUUUAGAUUGUAAAUACAGUUUUUAUAUUAUACAUUUAUACUUAUUUAAAAUAGAUUAAUUUUGUUUAUACAUGAAAUUAGUUUAUGUUUAAAACAUUAUAAAUAAUAGAAUUCAAUGACUUUAUUUUAGAAAAUUUUUAAUCAGAAAUCAUUUUAAAAUGUAAUACAUCAAUAACAUAAAUUUGUAAAAGCUUCACUAAACUAUUUUAUAAUUUAAUGUAUUAUUAUUUUAGAAUAUAUAAUUUAUUUUUUUAUUUUAAUUAUUCAUAAAUAUAAUUAUUAAUAAAUAAUAAUUAAUAGUAAAAUAACAAUCAAAUUACAUAAUACUAUUAACAAUUCUGAUAUGGCACACAACAACGAUCAAAUUAAAUAAUAUUAUUAAAAAAUUUGACGUAGGAUGCAAUGACAUUAAGAAAUUUUAACGUGGCAUGCAAUAGUAACUCCAACAAUAUUUGUUAUGCGAUUUAACUGUUAUUUAAUAAUAAUUAUAUUUAAAAAUAUCAAAAUAUCAAAAUAAAAAGAUAAACAAUAUAUUCUAAAAUAAAAAUAUCUUAAACUAUAAAAUAAUUUUUCUGAAUAAACUAUUUAUUGGCAGUCUUGGAUAUCCCAUCAUUAACAAGAAUAUGCACAAAUUGAUUACACAGAUAUUGUCUUCAACUAAUUACUAUGGUUUCUCCCAAAAAAUCGAUAUGAUUUUACAAAAUUACAUGCCUUAUUUCUAACUCUUUGUGUUUGAAUUAAUUAUAAAAAAUAUAUAUUUGAAGCAUAUAAAACACAAUGUCCUUCAUAAAAACCAAAAGAAUAUAACCAAAAUAAAUCAAAAUAAAUCGAUGCAAUCGUCUUAAGNNNCAGAGACAUUACUGGCAGUCCCCAUUAAAAGAGGAAACACACGAAAACACCAUUAACUACAAACCAAAGCUACAAUUACAUAUACUUAGCCAUGCAUGCAGGCAUGGUCACAAGUACACAGCUAAAUAAACCUAAGUACGUACGACAGUGACCCAAAGAUACACUAAUACACUUGGAAGACUACCCCCACUUUCCAUUAUUCAGCAAGCAGAUUUAGCCCCUGGUCCUGAACUUGGACUCGUCAAGGGAGAUUCCCUCUCUCUCUGCUCGCUCUCCACCGGACUCAUCCGUGGUGCUCAACCCACCCUUGCGGCCCAUCUCCUGAUACCCCUCCGUUCCCAGCUGCUCCUUCCUCGUCUGACCUCCUCGGCUCCGCCCUAUCACAAACAAAUAACAACCAAUCAACAUAUAGCUAACAGUAACAACAAUAAUAAACACACUAUUCUUUUAUUUAGAAACUGAGAGCACAUAUCGGUUUCAAAUAGAGUAGCGGUGUAGUGACCGGUUUCUCAAUUAAAAUUGAAAUGGAUUAUUAAAUUGUUUACCUUCAGCAAGGUGUUCUUGGGCUUCGAGGCUCUUGCCACCUGUGCCACCGGGGAUUACAGUCUCACCUUGCCUAGCCCUGUUAUCGAGCUCUUCCCUUG
rnacentral:lncRNA from 1 species